GAUGCCUGCCCAAUGGUUAAAAAUUUAUUUGAAAAGAAUAAAAAAGAAAUUAAAUGGCUGCAGUAACCAUAACUGUAAGAAUGUAGCAUAAUCAUUUGCCACUUAAUUAGUGGAUAGAAUGAAUGGCCAAACGAGAAUCCCACUGUCUUAUAAAACUAAAAUAAAAUUAAAAUAAUAGUGAAGAUGCUAUUUAAAAUUGUAAGACGAAAAGACCCUACAAAGCUUAACUAUAUUCUAUUAUUAAAUAUCUAAAGAUAAUUAUUAAAAGAAAGGUAGUUUCGUUGGGGAGACGGUCUUUCAAAAGUAACAAAGACAAGCUAAAUCAAAAAUAAUUUUAAAAUUUACUGCCUAAUAAAUAAAUUUUACAGUUACAAAGUAGGCUAUAAUGACCCAUUGAAAAAAAGAUUAAUCAAUGAAUAAUAAAUAAAAGCUACUUUAGGGAUAACAGAGUAAUUUAAUUUAAGAGCCCUUAUCUAGGAUUAAGUUUACCACCUCGAUGUUGAAUUAAGGUGUCCAAGUAGAGCAAA
rnacentral:rRNA from 1 species